UCGGUCAUAGAUUCAUAGCCCAUUUGGGGUAUCACUAUUACCCUCUUUCUGCUUUCAAAAUCCCUCCUCCCUUUCCAAAACCAUAAAUUCCUCGCAUACACCGCUCCUUCUCUCCCUCUCCCCACACGAACAAAUCCACACCAUUCUCAACCAACAACACCACCAACAAACAUUUCCCCUCCAUCAAAAAAAAAAAAAAAAAAAAACCAAUCCCAAUCCCAAUCCCACAAAAACCCAUUUAAAUUCAAAUCAAACCAAACCAAAUCAAACACAAAAGAAACAAAGAGGAAGCAAAAAAAAAAAAAAAAUUCUUUGGUGGUGAGUUUUAUAAGGUAUCUUUUUGUUGUUGAUGUUGUUGAUGUAUUAUUGUUUCAUUCAAUCAAUCAUUCAUAUAUGUAAUGCAUCAAAAGAAAUCGGAAGUUCAGAUCGGAAAAGAAAGCAGUGGCAUCUCUUCCGAUUUCAACCCAUCCCCUCCUCUUCUCUUCCCUCCUCCUACUCCCACUCAUCUUCUUCACCAUCCCAAACAGCCCCAACCCUCUUUUCUUCACCAAUCUCUGUCUCAACAACAAUUCAUCAUCAUCAUCAGAAGCAAAAUGACCCUCUUGCCCCUCCGUCUCCAUCUCCAUCUUCUUCCUCGUCUUCCACGCCGUACAAGCGAGCGACCCUUGUGACCCACUCGUCCUCUCUCUCCAAAUCUCCCACCAUUUACCAAUUCCACUCGAACCCACCUCCGCAAUUCGCCAACUCGCAAAACCCAUCUUUUUUCUCUCUCUCUCUCGCCGUAAAGACCUUCGUUUUUCGCACCCUGAGGAAAGUCAAGCACUUUCGGCGGUUGCGUGUGCAUCUCCGCCUCAUUCUCUUGCUUUCUCUUCCAUGUUUCUACUUCUUGGUUUCUCAUCCGAGCCACUCUUUCCUCCUUGACUUUCUCUCCGCUUUCGCUUUCUCGGCCGCGCUUUUGUUCUCUCUCAACCUCGCUCUCCCUCGCCUCCCUUCUAUUCGUCUCUUCCUUGCUCGUUCUUUCCCAAUUAAGCUCUCCCAACCUUCUUCCAUAUCUAGACCUCCUCUGCCGGUGUUUUGGUCAAUUGGGUCUCGGCCAAAACCCGAGAAGAGAGCGAGUUCGGGUUGUUGGGUUCAGGUUUUUAGCAACGGGGACGUGUAUGAGGGUGAGUUGUAUAAGGGAAAGUGUUCAGGGAGUGGGGUGUAUUACUAUUAUAUGAGUGGGAGGUAUGAGGGGGAUUGGGUGGAUGGGAAGUAUGAUGGAUAUGGUGUUGAGACUUGGGCUAGAGGGAGCCGGUAUCGGGGACAGUAUCGCCAGGGGCUUCGACAGGGGUUUGGGGUGUAUCGGUUUUAUACAGGGGAUGUUUAUGCUGGAGAAUGGGCUAAUGGGCAGAGUCAUGGGUGUGGAGUGCAUACUUGUGAGGACGGGAGUCGGUAUGUUGGGGAGUUCAAGUGGGGUGUCAAGCAUGGUCUUGGGCAUUACCAUUUCAGAAAUGGGGACACAUAUGCUGGAGAAUAUUUUGCGGACAAGAUGCAUGGGUUUGGGCUCUAUUCUUUUGCAAAUGGACAUCGAUAUGAAGGAGCCUGGCAUGAGGGUAGAAGGCAAGGGCUUGGAAUGUACACAUUCAGAAAUGGUGAAACACAAGCUGGUCACUGGCAAAAUGGAAUUCUUGACAUUCCAAGCACACAGAACACCACCCAUCCUGUAUCUCCUGUUGCUGUUUAUCAUUCAAAAGUACUCAAUGCAGUGCAGGAAGCUCGGCGAGCAGCAGACAAAGCCUAUGAUGUAGCCAAGGUGGAUGAAAGGGUCAACAGGGCAGUUGCAGCAGCCAAUAGGGCAGCUAAUGCAGCUAGAGUAGCGGCAGUUAAGGCUGUCCAAAAACAAAUGCACCAUAAUAGUAACAACAAUGUUCCAAUUCCAAUUGUGUGACACUCCCAACUGCCACUCUGGCUCUUUUAAUGUGCAAGACGGCAGCAUCAGGACAGUGGCUUAUGUUUGUUUUCUUCAACAAGUAGCUUUGUGUUUUUAUGCGGUCUCCUUGGCCCCUUGCCUUGAGGGGACGAUUUGAUUUGUAGAGCCUCUUGAAAGCUGAGUAGUAGGGAAGAUUACUGAAGAGUGUGCAACGGUCAUCUAUACAGCUUGAAGAUUGUGUAUACAUAGAGAGGAGAUAGAGAGGGUGGAUGGUGAUGGCAUCCAUAUUUUUCAUUUUUGCUGUUCCAUCUUAAGUACAUUUUUGUAAAGAUCAGGUAGAUGUAAUAUAAAGUGCUGGUGCCUAGGUAAAACCUCAAACCAGCCACUAUUGAUGUGA